CAGAAGAGAAGAGAAACCAAGGAAGAACAAACCCCAAGUGGGGAAAAUCAAAGAGAAAGUGUUGGAAUUCAAGGAUUUGAUCAAGUAAAGGUAAAAUUUCUUUGAUUUUGCUAGUGAUUUACCUUACCCAUGCAUUUCUCCUUAAUUUCCAUGGUUGGAUUGUAUGUUUUCAUGGGGAAAUCAUGGUUGGCCGAAUGGGUUUGGUGAGAGAAAUGAUGUUUGAAUUGUUUGAUUUUGAGUUAUGUUGGUGUUUAGAGUUAGUUAAGCAUGUUUAGAAACAAAACAAUAAGAAAAGAAUCCAUUUUCCCCAUGAACCUUCAAUGGCCGAACCCUAUGUGAAGUGUAGAAGUAAUGAAUUGAUUUUGUGAUCAAGUGAAUUGGUUGAAAAAUUGAUGAAAUAAUGAUUUAUGGUGAGAAAAUGGAAUGGGAAAAUUUUUAGUGAUAGUGCACCACAAUGGCUGAAAUUUUCAAGAAGAAUUGUGAGGGUUGUUAGGCUAAAUUUUAGAUUAUUGGAAUUGUAUUUAGUGAAUUGAAAUAUUAGAAAUAAAAUGGAGCAAUUUGGAGCCAAAUUGAACACAAUUAUCAUUUAAUCGGGUAAUAGGCCAAAUUAGGUCAGCACCACAUUUAAGCGGUAGUCGGAUAAGUUGCAUAUCAUAUCAUGCAUAUACACCAAGCCUAAAUUGAUUUUAUAAUGGUCAAGCAUUGAUGUGGUGAAUUAUGUAUUGUACAUUGUGGAUAAAUGGUGAGCAAAUUACACUGAUAAAAGUACAAAGAUUGAGCUUGAAGAUUGGGAUUAGGAGUACAUCGACUUCUAGAACUGUGACUGAACAAUUUAUCGUCUUAAAUAUCUAUAGUAAUUAUACUUGUUUGAUGCUUUUAUUGAAUGGUGAGUUUAAAUUAUAAAAUAUUAUGUUUUCCAAUUAAAAUAUUUUUUUAAUAAAAAUGAGAUUUAUAUUGGUUUUGAAAUCAAAUAUUGUUUUGAAAAAAUUGAGUAUAUGGAGAUUGUGUUGAAUUUAUGAUUUUAUAUAUUAUUGAAAUUGUGGCUUAUGACACUAUGGUAGCAUAAUGGCUAAAUUUUUGGGGUUAACAUGAAAUAUAUGAACAGUUUUGGAUUGGUCUCAGUAGACUGGAUUAAAUUUUAUUCGUCAUAUUAUGCUACUGAAAAUUUUAUGGGUUUGGUGGUAUAUUAAACAGUCACUAUAGUGGUGGGGGUUUUCGUGGACUGCCUAUGAGAGGGGCACGGUAACCCAAUUAUAUAUUUACCUCCAGGGGGAGAUGUUGGAUGAAGUAUCUCCUGAGGUAAGAUUUGAGUGCACCUCACGUUCGGGCCACCACGUGAGAGUGAGACUCAACCAACGCCAAGGAACGGCUGUGUGUUAGAUGCGAAAACAUGUUUAUGGGUAUGGGACAUUUAACAGCCUUGGCGGUCUCAGUGGGAUACCUUGACGAAGGUACCCACGAGAAUUAUUCUGGUAGGGGCCAAGUUUAAGAAAUUCAUAAGCUGGGAAAUUUUGAUGAAAAGAAAUUGUUUGGUAUAGAUUGAAACGAAUUUUGCGUUAUGAGCAUUAUUGAAAUAUAACGUUUUUAUAUUGUCUCCAUCUACUCGGCUUUAGAUGCUUUUGAUGGUAAUUGUUUACUCACUGGGAUUAUGUAAUCUCACCCCUCUUCCUAUCCAUUUUUCAGGCUCAGGACAGUUUGUUGAUAGUUGAUUAAUAUGAGAAUUAAUCUCGGAGUUGCAUCCUAGAAAGUAAGGGUUCGUAGCCUUACACCUUCUUGGUUAGUUGGGGAUCCAUGUGUCAUUGUAAAAGUAAUUUUAUACUUCAGUUAUCUGAUUUAAAGUAUGUAUGAACAUAUUUAGCUUUUACACCAUGUUUUUGGCGAGUUUCAGUAUUUUCAAAGAAAAAUGACGAAAAUGCCCCUAUGAGCUAGAAAUUAAUAUUUUAUUAUUUUGAUUUGGAAACGACUUAUGAUUUCUUGAAAUGCGAGAAUUAAUAACUGUCGCUCACCGGGGGAGAUGUAGAAGCUGAUGCUAAGCCUUGUGGAGUUUCGAUCGGCAUUCCAAGUAAUGAGUGCCUAUCGGGACUUCGUGACGGUUGUCAUGAGCCCAAUAGGAGUUCCGGGUCGUGACAAAAGUUCUCAUUUUCAAGUGUAUUUCACUCUUAUUCUUUGUAAAAGUGUUUGAGCUUAACUUUGUAUAUCUUAAA
rnacentral:lncRNA from 1 species